rnacentral:rRNA from 1 species
UACGUAGGUGGCAAGCGUUGUCCGGAUUUACUGGGUGUAAAGGGCGUGCAGCCGGAGAGACAAGUCAGAUGUGAAAUCCACGGGCUCAACCCGUGAACUGCAUUUGAAACUGUUUCCCUUGAGUGUCGGAGAGGUAAUCGGAAUUCCUUGUGUAGCGGUGAAAUGCGUAGAUAUAAGGAAGAACCCCGAUUGCGAAGGCAGCCUUCCGGCGCCCUACUGACGCUGUGGCACGAAAGUGCGGGGAUCGAACAGG